UUGGCUAUUAUGUACCUAGUAUAAAGUAAUGAAAAAUCCAAUAACUUUUAUAAGUUUGUUCUGCAAUACUACGCCAAAUUGAUUGUAUAUGAAAAGCUAAUAAAUUUCAUAAAUAUGAAUCGGUAUAGUUUUUAGAAGGUGUGGUUUGCAUUCAGAACAAAUUAUUUUCGGGUCAGGCUGUGAAAUUUUAAAGAAAAACCGCUGUUCGUUAAAAUUGUUCUAUAUUUGUUAUGAGAUCGGAUUAUAUCAUGAUGGAAAAUGGGAAAAGCACGAAAUUUACGAUUUUUGGAUUGUGAUACAGGAACAAAUGUAUUUCGAUGGUGUGAACGCCCCAACCUGAUGAAACGAGGAAAUGUUCUUCCGGAGGGAGCUUCACCUGAACUAAAUGUUCAAGAUUUUCGUAGAGCUUCAGGUAAUUAAUUUCCGCUCUCGGAAGGCCCCUGAAACUCCAACCCAAUUUCCCGGCUAGGGUGCAUCAAGUGGCAAUUUCAAUCGGUAACGGUUGAUUAGCAGCAGGUUCCACCAUUUGAAAAAAGUAAUGUCGACCACUUUCAGCUGGAUGAGAAGUUUCAACCAUAUAUAUUUACAAACGUCAGCCAGUCCUACAUAAUUCAUCAAUAAAAACAAUCUAAACUUUUAUCACGAUAUAUCAUUUAUACGAAAUCCGAAGAAAAAAAACGAAAACAUUUAUUUCACUGCACUGAACUGUGAAUGGAAUCAAAUUGACAAACUAUUACAUCCAUUGGAGUUUCCAAUAAAUAUAAU